rnacentral:rRNA from 1 species
UACGUAGGGUGCGAGCGUUAAUCGGAAUUACUGGGCGUAAAGCGCGCGUAGGUGGUUCGUUAAGUUGGAUGUGAAAUCCCCGGGCUCAACCUGGGAACUGCAUUCAAAACUGUCGAGCUAGAGUAUGGUAGAGGGUGGUGGAAUUUCCUGUGUAGCGGUGAAAUGCGUAGAUAUAGGAAGGAACACCAGUGGCGAAGGCGACCACCUGGACUGAUACUGACACUGAGGUGCGAAAGCGUGGGGAGCAAACAGG